GGGCUGGGAAUUAGCAGAAUCCAAACACACCUUAACAUUCAACUCUUUCGUCAUACCACUCCGUACCCUAAAGUCUGAUUGAUGGAAACCCUCGUGCGGUCACAGGCAGGGUCUGACAAUCAUCACACAGAAAUCUCCGAUACGUCGAAGCCGGAGGCUCAAACGACGCCGGAGAAAGUUGUCGCCUGUUCUCUGCCAUUCGCCGCCGGUUUAAAACCACAUUUGUUCUACAAGUGUCUUCUCAAUCAGCAUGCUCAAAAAUUCAGGAAAGAUCUCCCGAUCUUUCAAACUCAUAAUGAAGGAUUUGCACAUCUACCAAAGUUCAGAUCCACUGUUUGGUUUGAUGGUAUGAGCUACACAUCUUCAAACACUUUUCAGCAGCGUAAGGCGGCUGAGAUGGAUGUGUCCAAGACUGCAUAUUUUGCCAUAAUGCAGAAGUCAAAGAAUGAUGCAUUACAUCUUAUUCUCAAGGAUAAAACCUUUUGCAAGUCUAUUCUUGUCGAAUAUGCAGCUAAGAUGAAUUUAGGAAAACCCACCUAUGAAACAGCUCAACUGGACACAUCGGUUCCUGUUUUUCGUUCUUCUUUGGUUUUCAAUGGUGUUACUUUUCAAGGAGAUAGUGCCAAAAACAAGAAAGAAGCUGAACAAUUGGCGGCACAUGCAGCUAUUCUAAAAUAUUUAGCAGAUUCUGAAUCAGGAAAUGAUCUCUCGGAGAUAAUUAAUUGCAAGUUCAGGCAUUAUGUUGACAUGAAUAAAGUUCGGGAAAUCAACAAUGUUCACAAUGACACGAGUGUUGUGGGAACACAAAUGAUAGUUGACAACGCCAUUGGUCUAAAUGAGGCUAAAACCGAGUUAGGAACCACCAAAAUGCCUGAAUCAUCUGCUUUUCUGCUUCCAGUCGUAACUCAAUCACCUAUUCCCAAAGUAUCCAGUGAGGCAAUCACUCCAACUGUUCCGGGGCCUGCACUUUUGACACAGACCCCAUCUGCUGAGAUCAAUAAUUCAUCUCUUUCCUCUGUAGUAUCAGCAGCACCAUGCUUGGGGAAAUUUGCCAGUACUCCGGCACCAGGUCUUUCUUCUAAUGUAUUCCAACCAAUAAAUUCAGAAGUAUCACUUGGGACUGUCGUCCCUCCACUUCCAUUGGCUUCUCAAGCUCUGGAGCACCUGCCAUUCGUUGGUCAUACUUUGGGGAGGAAACGAAAUCGCAAAAACAAAAAGAAUGCCCAAAAGAAAAUGCGUGUUGAUGCUCAGAUGCCAAUACCUGCAGUUACGAGUGCAGUUCCACCAUGUUCGUCACAAUGAGCAGCUCGAUUCUGUGUAUUUUUGGAAGGUGAGCAAUGCUUUUUGGGAACGAGGUCUUAGUUCUGAAUGGAAGUUUCUUCGCAGUAUUUCUUAGAAUCAGCUCCUGGGGUGUUCGAAGCUGUAACUUGUGCUUAUCUGCACCUUCUUUUUAGAACAAAUUGCUGGAUUUUAGUUACUGCUGCUUGAUAUGUGCAGAUGUUGGUAGUUUAGGCUCUAGUUUGUUACAAUUACAUAUGCUGUUCAUGACAUCCGUUCCAUUUUGAUGCGGAAGAUAAAUGCUUGCGGAUACCCGAAACUUUUAUGCGGGUUCAAGAAAAGUCAUGAAAUCACUUCUGAUGAUGCAGGUAUUGCAUUUUCAGCUUGGAACUGUCGGGUUUACAUUGUAAUCCGCAGCCUCAACAGCUAUGAACUCGUCUUAAACCGUGUCGUCUUUGUGACCAUAUGCCUAGACUUUCUGUGCAAAAUGAAUCUCGAAUGAUUAGCAAUCAUCAGAUUACUGGUAUUUGGAUCGGGGAAGAGGGAUUAACUCUUCAAAUCAGUGUAUCUGGUUUUGUUGCAAACC